UCGAGCGACGCAUACCGGAGGGGUAACCCACUGGUAUGACGGAGCGGCGAACGGGUGAGUAACACGUGAGUAACCUGCCCCACAGACCGGGACAGCCCAGGGAAACCUGGAUUAAUACCGGAUAUCAUCGAAGGAUCGCAUGAUCUUUCGAGGAAAUGCCUUUGUGCUGUGGGAUGGGCUCGCGACUUAUCAGCUAGUUGGUGGGGUAACGGCCUACCAAGGCGUCGACGAGUAGCUGGUCUGAGAGGACGAUCAGCCACACUGGGACUGAGACACGGCCCAGACUCCUACGGGAGGCAGCAGCAGGGAAUCUUGCGCAAUGGGCGAAAGCCUGACGCAGCAACGCCGCGUGGGGGAUGAAGGCCUUCGGGUUGUAAACCCCUUUCAGGAGGGAAGAAAUUGACGGUACCUCCAAAAGAAGCACCGGCCAACUACGUGCCAGCAGCCGCGGUAAUACGUAGGGUGCGAGCGUUAUCCGGAAUCAUUGGGCGUAAAGAGCUCGUAGGCGGUUCAGUAAGUCGGCUGUGAAAUUUCGAGGCUCAACCUCGAAACUGCAGUCGAAACUGCUGUGACUCGAGUCCGGUAGAGGAGAAUGGAAUUCCCGGUGUAGCG
rnacentral:rRNA from 1 species